rnacentral:rRNA from 1 species
UACGUAGGGGGCAAGCGUUGUCCGGAAUCAUUGGGCGUAAAGAGCGUGUAGGCGGCCAGAUAAGUCCGCUGUGAAAUCUCGAGGCUCAACUUCGAGCUGUCGGUGGAAACUGUCUGGCUAGAGUCCGGAAGAGGAGAAUGGAAUUCCUGGUGUAGCGGUGAAAUGCGCAGAUAUCAGGAAGAACACCCGUGGCGAAGGCGGUUCUCUGGGACGGUACUGACGCUGAGACGCAAAAGCGUGGGGAGCGAACAGG